AUAUUUAAGUUGUUGCAUUAAAUUAUUUGGCUUACCAAUAUUUAAAUUUCGUAGUCAUUAAACUCUCACAGUGCGUUUAUCAUAAAAAACAACUCUUAGCUUCAAGUUACGUUCACAAAAGCUUCGCACACUCGACUUUUUAUGAAAAUUGUCAUAUUUCACACCGCAGAGCAGAACAGAGCGAAGCAACGAGCUGUGGCAGAGAAACAACAACAAGAACAACAACAGCAACAGGAAAGCAGCUUGAAACUUUAGCCGUGGGGCAGCCAAAAAGAGCAAAAGCAACAGCAGUUUUAAUGAUGGAAAAGCUUAAUAGUUGCCAUUAAGAAAAACGCGUGCAGGACUGAGUAAAAAUGAAAUUUCAAACUAAAAGCAUUUUGCGCCUUGAAGCAACAAAAAGCGAUGGAAAGCGGGGGCGGAGGCGGGGG